GAGUUCUUAGAGUAUCUGACAACUGAAGACAAUCAGAGGCCAGAAAGAAGUUCCAAGAACCAGGACGACAUUUGCAGUUUUUUGUUUGUUUGUUUGUUUGUUUGUUUGUUUGUUUUUUAAGAAUUUUAGAAUUUUACCUAAAACAGGAAGGUGUCUGGUCAACCUUGUGCCAACUGUCUCCAUUAACAGGGAACUGAAGUCAUUUUGCUUCGAGAACCAAGCUUUUCCAGAAAGGCACCUGAGCUGUUUCCAGUGCUCAGCCAUGCUUCUGGUCCUCAUCUCAUUCCUGGGGAUACACUUUUUCCUGGGAGGUGUCCAAACACAGACAGUUUCUCAGUCUGAUGCCCAUGUCACUGUCUUGGAAGGAGACUCCGUGGAGCUGAGAUGCAAGUAUUCCUAUGGUAGAACCCCUUACCUCUUCUGGUACAUCCAGCACCAUGGCCAUGGCCUCCAGUUUCUCCUCAAGUACUAUUCAGGGGACCCCGUGGUUCGUGGUACGAAUGGCUUUGAGGCUGAAUUCAACAAGAGUGACUCUUCCUUCCACCUGCGGAAAGCCUCUGUGCACUGGAGUGACUCGGCUGUGUACUUCUGUGCUCUGAGUGCACAGUGUCUGAGGCUGCAGGGGGAGCUGAUCACAAACCUGUAAGAUGCUGAGGAAGAUUCUGCAGCUGAGCAACUCUCAAUCAUUCACGCUCAUCAUCCAUGUAAGGACUAAGUAAACUCACUGGUCCUCCAAGUCGGACUUCUCUGGAAUUAUUUUGCUCUAUCCUUGGAACCCUAUGUGGGGUAUAUACACAUUUGGUCAUGGCUCCCAGGAAAAGUGACAUAGCAAGAUAAAAUGCAUUAAAUAGCCCUUGAGACAUGAUUGCCUUCUUAAUGUUUGUUCUGUAGGUUGCAUUUUCUAAUGACUGAUUACGUCCAUUAGACUUAAGAUACAACUCAGUUGUACAUAACCAGUAACUGCAGUGGGUGCUUACACGGUGUGCAGCAGAGGGAGAAGUAUUGGCUUCUGUCAGCUCCACAGCGAGGUCAGUGAUAAGGAAGUACACUGCUUGCACUCCACACCUCAAGAGCCUCAGAAGCACUCCCCAACUGUGAUCUUUGGUUUAGUUCCCUUGAAUCAGUGUAGAAUCAUCCUGAAGAGGAUCUCAAUAAGGAGUUUUCUGGAUUAGGUUGUUUUGUGAGCAUGUCUGUGGCGGAUUACAAUAAUCACUGUAGGUAGACACAGUCUGCACAUGGGAAGCACCAUUCCCAGAGUUUGGGCCCUGCACACUGCAUGAAAUGCAGAAGAGUUAGUAGAGCACGGUAUGCAAACAUUCUAUGCUCUUUGUUCCUGAUUAUGGAUGUGAUGUGACAAGUUGGCUCAAGCUUCCGAUGCUGUGACAGGCACACAGCCCUUGCUAUGAUGGACUGUGACCUUAAUGAUUAAGUCAGAUAAGUCCUCUUCCUUCUAAAUUAUUUUCAUCAACCAUUUUGUUCCAGCCACAGAUAGGGAAGUAGGAAGCCAUCCUCACUCCAGCAGACAUAAGAGCUCAGAGUUAAGAGACAGAAGGUAGGAAGGAGACCAGAGUCUGACCUCAGCAGAUGAAAUGAUUUCAAACAGCAAAGAGCAGACACUCUUUUGCAGGAAAUGGGCAUCUUCAAGGAAGGAAAGGGAAUAUUUGGAGUUUAUAGAGAAGUUUGGGAUAAGGAAUCUUAUG